CUUAAUAUACCGCCUAUUGAAGAAACACAUUGUCUUGAUAACCCGACACAUGUAGUCAAGGUAAAUUCUCUCUAUAUAUAUGAUAAAGUUGAAAUCCCCUCUACUAAAUUUCAUAGCCCAUGCUUAGAUGAAUUUGAUGACUUUAUGGCUAGACAAGAAAGUUUUAAUGCUUAUGUGGGUAGAGAAUUUAAGAAUAAUGCUUUCGAAAUAGGACGCUUGAGUGAUUAUAUGGCUAGAGUUAAAGGUGAACUUAAACUCGUUAGCAAAUAUGCUUCUAUGGUUACUGUCGGUGUCAAAACCGGCGGAUCUCGG
rnacentral:rRNA from 1 species